rnacentral:rRNA from 2 species
AGAGUUUGAUCAUGGCUCAGAUUGAACGCUGGCGGCAGGCCUAACACAUGCAAGUCGAGCGGUAGCACAGAGAGCUUGCUCUCGGGUGACGAGCGGCGGACGGGUGAGUAAUGUCUGGGAAACUGCCUGAUGGAGGGGGAUAACUACUGGAAACGGUAGCUAAUACCGCAUAAUGUCGCAAGACCAAAGUGGGGGACCUUCGGGCCUCAUGCCAUCAGAUGUGCCCAGAUGGGAUUAGCUUGUAGGUGGGGUAACGGCUCACCUAGGCGACGAUCCCUAGCUGGUCUGAGAGGAUGACCAGCCACACUGGAACUGAGACACGGUCCAGACUCCUACGGGAGGCAGCAGUGGGGAAUAUUGCACAAUGGGCGCAAGCCUGAUGCAGCCAUGCCGCGUGUGUGAAGAAGGCCUUCGGGUUGUAAAGCACUUUCAGCGGGGAGGAAGGCGGUGAGGUUAAUAACCUCAUCGAUUGACGUUACCCGCAGAAGAAGCACCGGCUAACUCCGUGCCAGCAGCCGCGGUAAUACGGAGGGUGCAAGCGUUAAUCGGAAUUACUGGGCGUAAAGCGCACGCAGGCGGUCUGUCAAGUCGGAUGUGAAAUCCCCGGGCUUAACCUGGGAACUGCAUUCGAAACUGGCAGGCUAGAGUCUUGUAGAGGGGGGUAGAAUUCCAGGUGUAGCGGUGAAAUGCGUAGAGAUCUGGAGGAAUACCGGUGGCGAAGGCGGCCCCCUGGACAAAGACUGACGCUCAGGUGCGAAAGCGUGGGGAGCAAACAGGAUUAGAUACCCUGGUAGUCCACGCCGUAAACGAUGUCGAUUUGGAGGUUGUGCCCUUGAGGCGUGGCUUCCGGAGCUAACGCGUUAAAUCGACCGCCUGGGGAGUACGGCCGCAAGGUUAAAACUCAAAUGAAUUGACGGGGGCCCGCACAAGCGGUGGAGCAUGUGGUUUAAUUCGAUGCAACGCGAAGAACCUUACCUGGUCUUGACAUCCACAGAACUUUCCAGAGAUGGAUUGGUGCCUUCGGGAACUGUGAGACAGGUGCUGCAUGGCUGUCGUCAGCUCGUGUUGUGAAAUGUUGGGUUAAGUCCCGCAACGAGCGCAACCCUUAUCCUUUGUUGCCAGCGGUCCGGCCGGGAACUCAAAGGAGACUGCCAGUGAUAAACUGGAGGAAGGUGGGGAUGACGUCAAGUCAUCAUGGCCCUUACGACCAGGGCUACACACGUGCUACAAUGGCAUAUACAAAGAGAAGCGACCUCGCGAGAGCAAGCGGACCUCAUAAAGUAUGUCGUAGUCCGGAUUGGAGUCUGCAACUCGACUCCAUGAAGUCGGAAUCGCUAGUAAUCGUAGAUCAGAAUGCUACGGUGAAUACGUUCCCGGGCCUUGUACACACCGCCCGUCACACCAUGGGAGUGGGUUGCAAAAGAAGUAGGUAGCUUAACCUUCGGGAGGGCGCUUACCACUUUGUGAUUCAUGACUGGGGUGAAGUCGUAACAAGGUAACCGUAGGGGAACCUGCGGUUGGAUCACCU